UGAAUACGAGAUGCUACGGCGUCGAAGCAGUCUAUGUCAUACUUCCAAGAAAAGCUCGCACUGUCAUAAACAAAUAAUGCCUGUACCAUAACCGACACAGGUGGGUAGGUAGAGUAUACUAAGGGGCGCGAGAUAACUCUCUCUAAGGAACUCGGCAAAAUGACUCCGUAACUUCGGGAGAAGGAGUGCCUUAUUUAUAAGGUUGCAAUAACAAGAUCCAAGCAACUGUUUAUCAAAAACACAGGUCUCCGCUAAGUCGUAAGACGAUGUAUGGGGGCUGACGCCUGCCCAGUGCCAGAAGGUUAAAGAAGUUGGUUAGCAUUCGCGAAGCUGAUAACUGAAGCCCUGGUGAACGGCGGCCGUAACAAUAACGGUCCUAAGGUAGCGAAAUUCCUUGUCGGGUAAGUUCCGACCCGCACGAAAGGCGUAAUGAUUUGGAUACUGUCUCGGAGAGGGGCUCGGUGAAAUAGACUUGUCUGUGAUAUGCGGACUACCUGCACCAGGACAGAAAGACCCUAUGAAGCUUUACUGUAACUUGAGAUUGAAAUUGGACUUUACUUGCGCAGUAUAGGUGGGAGGCGUUGAUAAUAUUCUUGCGGGAUUAUUUGAGCCAUCAGUGAGAUACCACUCUUGUAAUGUUAGAUUUCUAACUUUGUAUCAUCAUCUGGUCCAAGGACAGUUUCAGGCGGGCAGUUUGACUGGGGCGGUCGCCUCCUAAACGGUAACGGAGGCGCACAAAGGUUUCCUCUGAACGGGUAGAAAUCGUAUCUAGAGUGUAAAGGCAUAAGGAAGCUUGACUGUGAGACCUACAAGUCGAGCAGGGACGAAAGUCGGUCUUAGUGAUCUGACGGUGCUGAGUGGAAAGGCCGUCACUCAACGGAUAAAAGUUACUCUAGGGAUAACAGGCUGAUCUCCCCCAAGAGUUCACAUCGACGGGGAGGUUUGGCACCUCGAUGUCGGCUCAUCGCAUCCUGGGGCGGUAGUACGUCCCAAGGGUUGGGCUGUUCGCCCAUGAAAGCGGUACGCGAGCUGGGUUUAGAACGUCGUGAGACAGUUCGGUCCAUAUCCGGUGUAGGCGUUAGAAUAUUGAGAGGAGCCUUCUUUAGUACGAGAGGACCGAGAAGGACAUACCUCUGGUGUACCAGUUAUCGUGCCAACGGUAAACGCUGGGUAGCUAUGUAUGGAGUGGAUAACCGCUGAAAGCAUCUAAGUGGGAAGCCCACCUCAAGAUAAGUAUUCUC
rnacentral:rRNA from 1 species